rnacentral:rRNA from 1 species
CCUACGGGUGGCAGCAGUCGAGAAUCUUUCACAAUGGGGGAAACCCUGAUGGUGCGACGCCGCGUGGGGGAAUGAAGGUCUUCGGAUUGUAAACCCCUGUCAUGUGGGAGCAAAAUAGAAAGUAAGUACCACAUGAGGACCAGACGGAUAACUCUGUGCAAGCAGCCGCGGGAAUACAGAGGAAUCAAGCGUUGUACGGAAUCACUGGGCGUAAAGCGUGCGUAGGCUGUUUCGUAAGUCGUGUGUGAAAGGCGCGGGCUCAACCGGCGGACGGCACAGGAUACUGCGAGACUAGAGUAAUGGAGGGGGAACCGGAAUUCACGGUGUAGCGGUGAAAUGCGUAGAUAUUGGGAGGAACACUCGUGGCGAAGGCGGGUUCCUGGACGUUAACUGACGCUGAGGCACGAAGGCCAGGGGAGCAAAAGGGAUUAGAUACCCGUGUAGUC